AUUGAACGCUGGCGGCAGGCCUAACACAUGCAAGUCGAGCGGAUGAAGGGAGCUUGCUCCUGGAUUCAGCGGCGGACGGGUGAGUAAUGCCUAGGAAUCUGCCUGGUAGUGGGGGAUAACGUCCGGAAACGGGCGCUAAUACCGCAUACGUCCUGAGGGAGAAAGUGGGGGAUCUUCGGACCUCACGCUAUCAGAUGAGCCUAGGUCGGAUUAGCUAGUUGGUGGGGUAAAGGCCUACCAAGGCGACGAUCCGUAACUGGUCUGAGAGGAUGAUCAGUCACACUGGAACUGAGACACGGUCCAGACCCCUACGGGAGGCAGCAGUGGGGAAUAUUGGACAAUGGGCGAGAGCCUGAUCCAGCCAUGCCGCGUGUGUGAAGAAGGUCUUCGGAUUGUAAAGCACUUUAAGUUGGGAGGAAGGGCAGUAAGUUAAUACCUUGCUGUUUUGACGUUACCAACAGAAUAAGCACCGGCUAACUUCGUG
rnacentral:rRNA from 1 species